AUUGAACGCUGGCGGCGUGCUUUACACAUGCAAGUCGGACGAGUGGCGAACGGGUGAGUAACGCAUCGGAACGUACCGGGUGAUGGGGGAUAACUGUCCGAAACGACAGCUAAUACCGCAUAUCAUUCGAUCUGCCCAGGUCUGAUUAGCUGGUGGGGGGGGUAACGGCUCACCAAGGCGACGAUCCAUAGCGGGUCUGAGAGGAUGAUCGGCCACACGGGAACUGAGACACGGUCCAGACUCCUACGGGAGGCAGAAGUGGGGAAUGUUGGACAAUGGGCGCAAGCCUGAUCCAGCCAUGCCGCGUGUGUGAAGAAGGCCUUCGGGUUGUAAAGGACUUUUGUCAGGGAAGCGGUACCGGAAGAAAAAGCACCGGCUAACUACGUGCCAGCAGCCGCGGUAAUAC
rnacentral:rRNA from 1 species